ACCGGGCGCAGUGGCGCGUGCCUGUAGUCCCAGCUACUCAGGAGGCUGAGGUGGAGGAUCGCUUGAGCCCAGGAGUUCUGGGCUGUAGUGCGCUAUGCUGAUCGGGUGUCCGCACUAAAUUCAGCAUCAAUAUGGUGACCUCCCGGGAGCGGGGGACCACUAGGUUGCCUAAGGAGGGGUGAACUGGCCCAGGUUGGACAUGGAGCAGGUCAAAACUCCCAUGCUGAUCAGUAGUGGGAUCGCGCUUGUGAAUAGCCACUGCACUCCAGCCUGGGCAACAUAGCGAGACCCCGUUUCU
rnacentral:SRP_RNA from 1 species